GAUCUAAUUUGGUAUUGUGAAUGGGUAAUCGAAGAUUGUGUUCGUAAGAGAAUGGCUUUAGAAGUGAGUAUUGCAGAGAGCGAAAAGAGGCUGAAAGAACUCUUAGGCAGUAAUGUUUAUCAGUGCUCAAGAGACCACGUCAAGUUCGGCAACUACUCUGCCUGCUCCAAAACUGGCUGUGCAGUCAUCAGCAGCUAAAACAGAGAUGUCUACACGGUUAGGCAUUGCGGCUCUAUUGUCAACACAAUAUAUUGAUGAAAUCUUCUUGGAUGAAUAUACCAGGAACCAGAUAGAAAUUCUUCAAGGGCCUUUGGGGCAAACCGUUCCACAAGAUUGUGAGCAGUAUUUUGAAAAUUUUCAUGGUUAAGAAACCAGUGAAACAUCUAUAAGGACCUCAUCGAGAAAUUAACUCUCUUGCUGGGAAUAAUGAUAAGUUUGUCAAGAUUACUUCUUGUUGUUUUAAGUAUUCUGCAGAUGUACAUGGCACCAAAGAAAACAUUGGAAUGCUGUACAGAAACCUUGCAUCAAUUAUCUUCAUAAAACCCUCGUAGAUAGAAAUCUCCAGAUUGCAUGCUUUGAGAACAAUACUACAAAGAUAUGUUGUGGAGAAGUCGCACACUAGCUUCUGAUGUUCUCUCUAAUUCAACCCAGGGACCACGUCUAAGUUUGGCAACUACUCUUCCUGCUCCAAAAUUGGCUGUGUAGUCAUCGGCAGCUAAAACAGAUUUGUCUCCACAGUUGGACUCUGUCAUGUUCACCAGUCUGAAGAAUCUAUUUCUGAAGAUUCGUCCAAACAGGGAAUUGAUUUUCCAGCUAAAGAUUGAUUAUUUUUAAUCAUUUCCUGGAUCUCAAUUGCUUACAGAUUGAACUAUAACAGGGGAAAUCCUAUAAGAUACACGCAAACUCACUUUCUGUAGCUUUUGAAGAACAUAUAACAUAACAAAAGUGAACUGAACAGAAAGAGAAUCUCCAACAAGAAUCACCAGAUAAAUCAAGUGAAGAUGGCAGUCACAAGGAUCUUUCUUCAUUCCAUUCGUAAUGGUGAGGUAGCUGAUGAGCUACACAUCAACUCCAAAAGUCCAGUCCAUACGAGAAAACAGAAGCAAAACCUCAAAAAUCAAAUGUCUUGCCGUCCCAAAGGCUUCUCAAUCCGUUGACAUGAUUAAGCCAGGCGAUUUAGCCAUAAUCUUAGUAGAUGGCAUUGUAUUUUUUUUUGGGUAAAAGAUAGGGUCAUUCAAAAAUUUGUUUUGUAAUUAUUUACAAAAUUUUAUAAUACUCAAAAUUAAACACACUUGCUAUCAUAA